CUCUCUCUCUUCUGACUCUCAGCUUCUUCCUACCCCCGACUCUCGCUCUCUCGCGGGACUCUCAGCUUCUUCCUACCCCCGACUCUCUCUCUCGCGCGAGCUGCCAUUAAUUUUAGGGCUUAGAUGAAGAUCUGAAACAGUUUUUCGAUCUGAAUUCUAUUGGAUUUCGUGACCGGUGGAGUUUUUCAAUCUGAAUUCUGUUCGAUUUGCAGUUUUAUAACCCAUUAGG